CACUAAUCUCGAGAUUCAAGAAUCAAGAAAAGCCAGAAGCUCCUCCGGCAAGUUUAUACUUGUUCCGACGGCCAGCUUCAACAUCACAGAUUGUGAGAAAGGAAAAGGAGUUGGGAUUGAUACACCAAACUCGAGAAAAAGGAAGAUCUACACUGGGCAGAGACAAAUAAGAAUGCAGACAAUGAAGUUCUCUACAAUCCGAUCUUCCCAAAACUCUCCACACUACUCUCCCUCUUUCCCCAACUCUCCAUAAUACUCUCCUUCAAUACUCUUCCUCUUCUCCCCAAUACUCUCCCUCUUCCCCCAACUAUCCUCAAUACACUCCCUCUUCUCCCCAGUACUCAGACAUGGAGUCUACAAACUUUUCAAUCUCCCUCUCUCUCGUACUCUCUUCGACUCCCUACUCUCCCCAAAUGAGACUUUCAUCCUAUGGUUAUUAAUUUUUUGUUUUUCUAUUAAAUUAAUGUUCUUUUGUAAUUUUUUUUAUUAUUAGAAAAUUUAAUGUUAGUUAUUUCUUAACAAUUUUUUCCUUGUAAUCAGUACCCAUUUUGAAUUUUAAUAGGAAUUAUUUCUUUAUUUUC